GCCCCGGGGAGCGGCGUCCGCGAGAGUGCCCAGCUGGGAAAUGCAGCUCGGAAUUAACAGCGUAUGUUUCCUAAUCAGUUUACAGGCCGCUUUGGGGUAAGCCACUUCCAGAGGGGGAAGGGCAGCCUGGGUUUCUUUAGGACAGUUCAACCAGAUUGUAGUGGGGAGGAGAUGGGGGGCACUGGGGAUAACGGGGAGAGAGCUCUGCUCUCUCAACCAAGGAAACCGGAAAAACAGUGCUCCUUCCCCUGCCUGCAGCCUCCUUCUACAACUCAAGUGUACCCCCGAGAAGGGGACAAGGGAUAGUACCCCUGAGGGAAGAAGGGGGUCCGGGUCCCUCUGUCCUGGGAGAGGAUCCCUUCCCUGCCCUCCCACAAAUUCUGAUUUUUCAUUUCACUCUCCUUCCCGCCCCCCUUCUGUCCCCACUCCUGACAGCUGCCACGGAGAAAGAGGAAAGGACGCCAAGGGGGACUCCAGUUUCCUUUGGUCUUGGUCUGGGGUUGUCGGCCACUUCGCCAUCGCGGCCCUGUGAGCCUGGCCUUAGAACACCUCCACCCCACCCUCCAGCCCGAUUCAGACUCGGUUCGGAGAGAAACGGAAAACGGCGGGAGAUAAAAGGCUGCACCACAAAGUUGCGACGUCCUGCCCCAGGAAGUGCCAAGAGAGAAGCGGGAGUGGACGGGGAUGAGCCUGAAAAGCAAAAUGGGAGAGGAUCAAGAAAAGUGGAAAUAAGGAGCGAAGCUUGGAGAACAGACAGAGGAGAAGUUGUUUGGAAAAUAACAAGUUAUAUUGCAGGAAGAAAUGUUAACUUUUCGCAAAAGUGAACUCCCGGUGACCCUCGCAGUGUGUGACUCGGCUUUAACAUACAACUGACAAUUAAAACAAACAAGAGUUCACAAACUGCCCCCCUCCCGCUCUCCCAAAGCGGAGGCCCAAAUGUUUCCAAAGGACAGGGCAGAUUCCGCGCAGGGGGCCGGGGCGCGCUCUCCCAGCGGACGGGAUUAGAGCCACUACUGCCAACACUCCCCGCCCCCAUCACCGCGGCAAAGUGCCGGGGCUCACCCAGUGGCGGCUAAUAAUGCUAAUAACGCAACCCGGCUCCCGCGCCGGGGUGCGCGCUGGCCCCCCACAAGGCACUCUUAAAGGCACACGGGCCUGCAGCGCUGGGAUUCCCUGGCCGGGACGAGCCUGCAGCAACCUGGCCUCCCGCAGCAGAGGGCGAGGGAAGAGGGGGCGGUGCACUGCUCUGGGGUGUCGGCUCCUAGUCCUGCUGCCGGGUCUCCCAACCAAGGAGUCCUCCUCCCCUUUCUGAGCCCCGGCCACACACCCUCUUGGUGCCGGCGCAGUGGGCGCUUCGUAAAUAUUUGUUGAAUUGAAUCAUUAUCCUGUUGCUGAAAUAUACAUAGAAAAUUACACUGGUGUUUCUCAGGGCAAAAAGAGUUUUCGGUGAACCGCUCUCAGUUCUAAUGCCCUGGGUCAUCCUCACUUUUUCUCCAAAGUCUAAAAGGUUUGCAGAACUUUUUGUGAGACGGGAAGUCUCCCGGGAGACA